AGAGUUUGAUCCUGGCUCAGAUUGAACGCUGGCGGCAUGCCUUACACAUGCAAGUCGAACGGUAACAGCACUUCGGUGGCUGACGAGUGGCGAACGGGUGAGUAAUACAUCGGAACGUGCCCGAGAGUGGGGGAUAACGCAGCGAAAGCUGUGCUAAUACCGCAUACGAUCUACGGAUGAAAGCAGGGGACCGCAAGGCCUUGCGCUCACGGAGCGGCCGAUGGCAGAUUAGGUAGUUGGUGGGAUAAAAGCUUACCAAGCCGACGAUCUGUAGCUGGUCUGAGAGGACGACCAGCCACACUGGGACUGAGACACGGCCCAGACUCCUACGGGAGGCAGCAGUGGGGAAUUUUGGACAAUGGGCGAAAGCCUG
rnacentral:rRNA from 1 species